GGGUAUCUGGCUUUCUCCUCGUGUGCAAUCAGUAAAACACAUAUAGGGGCCACUUCGGGAUUUGCCCAGGGAAGGGUUGGAGAGCAGCUGGCUGCGGUAAUCUCCUCGGGAGACAAAGGAAUGCCCCGUCCCAGGAUCACAGAAUCGCGUGGCAUAAAUUAAGCCAGAGAAGAAUGAGCGCCGUGGGCAGGAUCCUGCCGGCUCUCACGGCGCCUUUCAGUCACGCUCAGCAGCGGUAAUCGAGAAAUCUGUGCCACGUCAAUUUAACAAAUACCCGGUACCGAAGGGGGGAUGUUAAGGAUUUGGGGAUUAAAAGAUACGCGUUGAUAUAUCACUUCUUGCCUCCACCGACGGGCCACCACCCAAAUUUCAAGAAAGAUAUUGCCGCUCACCCCCGCUCCCCCGCCCCACUCGCUUAGUAAACCUCAUACGAAGUGAUGUUUUCCCGCUCUCUCUCUUUUUCCCGGGGAUAACGCCGCAGCAAAGUUUGCGAAGCAGCGACAAGCCACUUGAAAAGAUGUUGACGCUAGGUGGCAAAAGUAAUGUGCAGUGAAAACCGGCGCUGCUGCGGGAUGCGCCCCCCCGCUCCCCGUGCUGAUGCUGGGCACGGCGGGGGCGGGCGGCCGGGCCUCCGGGGAUCCGCCGCCCGCUCCGCUCCGCUCCCUCCUGGGCCGCCUUCCCUACGUCCUCGCACUAUGCCUGCGGGAUUGCUGGUCCCUUCUCUGCCCAGACACAGCUCCCGGGUAAAAAAAACCAAACAAAACCAAACCAACCAACCAACCAAACAAACAAAAAAAAAAACCAAAACAAAACAAAAAAAAACCAAAAAAAAAAAAAACCCAAAACCAAAAAAAACCCCCACCAAACCCAAACAUUCCUGUACAUUUUAAACUUUUGCUUAUGCGUCGAGGGGCGGGAAGAGGUGAGAGGAAGAGCGCCUGGAUGUAGAUGGCUCGUUCGACUACAAUUAGAUGUAAAGGACGCACGUUGAGUAGCAAAACGUUGCAAAGAUCUGGAUGCUUGUACCAAGGGUUGGAGUAGGUGGCCUGGGUUUGGGGUAGGUGCCACAAACCCCUAGUAAAUGAAUGUGGGCAGUUACAGUCCUGGAACAGUCAAGAAGAGCUGGGCUGAAUGAACUCAUUAGUGAUUUUCUUUUAAUUGGUAUUACUCAAUGCUUUUACUUUAAGAAGUCUUUAAGAUUUUUUUUUCCUAGCGCAUUGUAAGAUAAUUUGUGAUCAAGACAUCUGCUUCAAUGGAAGCCACAUUUUGCCAUGCAAAUGCACGUUUCAACCCAAUAAAGUCGCCAUAAUAAGGCUUUUAGCACGGCAUACCUACAGUGAGGUUAUUGUAGCCAAAUCCUCUCCUUUCGCACACAAGCUUAAUCUGUGCUGAAAUGAUCUGUUACAAUUAAAAUGACAUUUACAGAGACAGUUAUACCUUGCAUCCUAAUGAAUCCGCCUGUGCCUACCAAAGGUGUUUAAACAGAGGGCCUAAACAAAGUGGAAAACCCUGCUUCGAGUGACAUGCCAGAGUCGCCCUCCAACUUUUAUCCCCUGCUUCCAUCCAUUAUUAAGAAACUGCU